AUUUCCCAUCGCAGCAGCAGCAGCAGCAGCAGCAGCAGCUCUAUGGCCUCCCGAAACCCCACCUGCAGCACCUUCAUCCUCUUCUUCUUCGUCUCCACCACUCUCGUCUGCGCUCUUCGACGACCAGGUCUCGGAGGACAAGUCGCCCGCUCGAGUGUCCUUCCACUGAAGGAGGAGGCAGAGCAACGUCGAUGCAAAACCUGUGUUGCAGGUCUCGGAGGACAAGUCGCCCGCUCGAAUGUCCUUCCACUGAAGGAGGAGGAGGGUGACAGGAGGGUGAUGAUCGGGUCCAGGGCUCCCAUUUGCACGUACAACGAGUGCAGAGGCUGUCGAUUCAAGUGCAGCGCCGAGCAAGUUCCUGUUGACGCCGGCGACCCCAUGAACAGCGCCUACCGCUACAGAUGCGUGUGUCAUAGGUGAUGGAUGGUGGAACUCAAUGAGAAUGAGAGUGUUCUUGUCCCUGGUCUUCUUCCCGUGCCUGUACUCGAUCCUAGUGAAGUGAUCCUAUAUUACCUGUCACAAUCCUCUCCACCUCUCUGUGUGAUCUCUUCUUCUUCUGCUCUCUCUCUCUCUCUCUCUCUCUAUAUAUAUAUAUAUAUCAUCAUUCAGGUUGUCAGCUGAGGGAAAACUGUGAUAGCAAGGAGAUGACAUGGUGAGGAACACUGAUGACUCUUUGUUGCACGUACAUAGUGCAAUGUGCAGGGUAAAAAGUUGGCUCAGAAGAAGCUCAGGUUUUCAACCCUUACAUUCUGUGUACUGAUGGAGCAGUAAAUCCAUCUGGGGAGGAGAGUCAUCUUCUUCUUCUUCUUCUUUUUACUCUUUACUGAACCACUCACUCCUCUGUGUGU